rnacentral:rRNA from 1 species
AUUGAACGCUGGCGGCAUGCCUUACACAUGCAAGUCGAACGGUAACAGGUCUUCGGAUGCUGACGAGUGGCGAACGGGUGAGUAAUACAUCGGAACGUGCCUAGUAGUGGGGUAUAACUACUCGAAAGAGUGGCUAAUACAUCAUGAGAUCUACGGAUGAAAGCAGGGGAUCGCAAAGCCUUGCUAUACUAAAUCGGCCGAUGGCAGAUUAGAUAGUGGGGGGGAUAACAGCGUACCAAGCCGACGAUCUGUAUUUGGGCGUUGAGGACGAUGAGCCACACUGGGACUGAGACACGUCCCAGACUCCUACGGGAGGCAGCAUUGGGGAAUUUUGGACAAUGGGCGCAAGCCUGAUCCAGCAAUGCCGCGUGCAGGAUGAAGGCCUUCGGGUUGUAAACUGCUUUUGUACGGAACGAAAAGCCCUGGGUUAAUACCCUGGGGUCAUGACGGUACCGUAAGAAUAAGCACCGGCUAACUACGUGCCAGCAGCCGCCGUAAUAC